rnacentral:tRNA from 2 species
GGAGGGGUGGCCGAGUGGUUGAAGGCGCACGCCUGGAAAGUGUGUAUACGGGAAACUGUAUCGCGGGUUCGAAUCCCGCUCCCUCCGCCA